rnacentral:rRNA from 1 species
UUAUGGCUCAGGACGAACGCUGGCGGCGUGCCUAACACAUGCAAGUCGAACGGGGAUUUGUUUCGGCAGAAUCCUAGUGGCGAACGGGUGAGUAACGCGUAGGCAACCUGCCCUCCGGCCGGGGGACAACACUCCGAAAGGGGUGCUAAUACCGGAUACGAAGAUAAUACCGCAUGGUGAUAUUUUUGAAAGAUGGCCUCUAUUUAUAAGCUAUCGCCGGGGGAUGGGCCUGCGUCCGAUUAGCUGGUUGGUGGGGUAACGGCCUACCAAGGCGACGAUCGGUAGCCGGUCUGAGAGGAUGAACGGCCACAUUGGGACUGAGACACGGCCCAGACUCCUACGGGAGGCAGCAGUGGGGAAUCUUCCGCAAUGGGCGCAAGCCUGACGGAGCAACGCCGCGUGAGUGAGGAAGUUCUUCGGAACGUAAAGCUCUGUUGUUCCUGACGAACCUCCCCUUUAUCAACAACGGAGGGGACUGACGGUAGGGAACGAGGAAGCCACGGCUAACUACGUGCCAGCCGCAGC